rnacentral:lncRNA from 1 species
UCGGACACAGACUCCAGGGAAAGAUGGGUAGAUUUUCCUGAAAGUGUAAUGAGUCAGCAAAGUGUUCUCACUCUGCUUCAGAGAAUAGCGCCAUAUGUCAAUAUUAAUGUUCUUUUAGUGCUGUCUUAUGUAAGGUGUUUUCCUAGAGCUGUCACUCGAACGUUUGUGUGGCAGGCACAAUUCAAAAUCCAGGGUCACCUAACACGAAAGCAGUCACUCCUUACCGGGGAGUAUCCAGAUGGUAACUUUUCAAUGAAUGUAUAUUACAGACAGACGCCGCACCUCAUAAAGAUCUCUUCUCCUGUAGGAUUAGCCAUUCAACAGAAGCUUGAUACAGCAGUUACUUUGCGCCCAGCACAGAGGGUCAGAGUCAACCAAACUGCAGCAAGGUCACAGGAAGGAGAUACAGAAGUGAAUGUUUUUGUUUUCAUUGACAAGAUCUGGAAAAUCCUGAUCAUAAGAGAGUACAUGACGAGGCCUGUCAUCACCUCCUCCCCAGUGGCCCCCAGUUGAUUUUCAAUGUCUGCUGCAUACAACAUGGCUGAAAAUGUCUUUUACAUUCAUCGCUGCACAUCACACAAAACUCCAGAAUAGAUUCUGGGAGAGCAGUGACUGGUGAAUGGGUGCCUGCAUUUGAGACAACG